AACGCGAAGAACCUUACCUAGGCUUGAAAAGCUUAUGACCGGCUGUGAAAGCAGCUUUCCCGCAAGGGCAUAAGUACAGGUGCUGCAUGGCUGCCGUCAGCUCGUGCCGUGAGGUGUUGGGUUAAGUCCCGCAACGAGCGCAACCCUUACCAUUAGUUGCCACCGGAGCAAUCCGAGCACUCUAAUGGAACUGCCUACGCAAGUAGUGAGGAAGGUGAGGAUGACGUCAAGUCCGCAUGGCCCUUACGCCUAGGGCUACACACGUGCUACAAUGGCCGCCACAACGGGCAGCAAAAUCGCGAGAUGGAGCGAAUCCCUAAAAAGCGGCCUCAGUUCGGAUUGGAGUCUGCAACUCGACUCCAUGAAGUUGGAAUUGCUAGUAAUCGCGUAUCAGCAUGACGCGGUGAAUACGUUCCCGGGCCUUGUACACACCGCCCGUAAUCAC
rnacentral:rRNA from 2 species